UACGGGGGGAGCAAGCGUUGUUCGGAUUUACUGGGCGUAAAGGGCGCGUAGGCGGUCAGCACAAGUCAGUUGUGAAAUCUCCGGGCUUAACUCGGAAAGGUCAACUGAUACUGUGCGACUAGAGUGCAGAAGGGGCAACUGGAAUUCUCGGUGUAGCGGUGAAAUUCGUAGAUAUCAGGAGGAACACCGGUGGCGAAGGCGGCUUCCUGGACACUUACUGACGCUGAGACGCGAAAGCGUGGGGAGCAAACAGG
rnacentral:rRNA from 1 species